CCUACGGGUGGCAGCAGUGAGGAAUAUUGGUCAAUGGGCGCGAGCCUGAACCAGCCAAGUAGCGUGAAGGAUGACUGCCCUACGGGUUGUAAACUUCUUUUAUAAAGGAAUAAAGUGAGUCACGUGUGCCUUUUUUUAUGUCCUUUAUGAAUGAUGAUCGGCUAACUCCGUUCAAGCAGCCGCGGUAAUCCGGAGGAUCCGAGCGUUAGCCGGCUUUCUUGGGUUUAAAGGGAGCGUAGAUGGAUUGGUAAGUCAGUUGUGAAAGUUUGCGUCUCAACCGUAAAAUUGCAAUUGAUACUGGCAGUCUGGAGUACAGUGGAGGCAGGCGGAAUUCGUGGUGUAGCGGUGAAAUGCUUAGAUAUCACGAAGAACUCCGAUUGCGAAGGCAGCUUACUAAACUGCAACUGACAUUGAUGCUCGAAAGUGUGGGUAUCAAACAGGAUUAGAUACCCGAGUAGUC
rnacentral:rRNA from 1 species